AGCGAACGCUGGCGGUAGGCCUAACACAUGCAAGUCGAACGGCAGCACAGUAAGAGCUUGCUCUUACGGGUGGCGAGUGGCGGACGGGUGAGGAAUACAUCGGAAUCUACUUUUUCGUGGGGGAUAACGUAGGGAAACCUACGCUAAUACCGCAUACGACCUACGGGUGAAAGCAGGGGAUCUUCGGACCUUGCGCGAUUGAAUGAGCCGAUGUCGGAUUAGCUAGUUGGCGGGGUAAAGGCCCACCAAGGCGACGAUCCGUAGCUGGUCUGAGAGGAUGAUCAGCCACACUGGAACUGAGACACGGUCCAGACUCCUACGGGAGGCAGCAGUGGGGAAUAUUGGACAAUGGGCGCAAGCCUGAUCCAGCCAUACCGCGUGGGCGAAGAAGGCCUUCGGGUUGUAAAGCCCUUUUGUUGGGAAAGAAAAGCAGCAGGUUAAUACCCCGCUGUUCUGACGGUACCCAAAGAAUAAGCACCGGCUAACUUCGUG
rnacentral:rRNA from 1 species